rnacentral:rRNA from 1 species
GAUGCGGUCUAUCUGCAGUCGAGCGAACAGAGAAGGAGCUUGCUCCUUUGACGUUAGCGGCGGACGGGUGAGUAACACGUGGGCAACCUACCUUAUAGUUUGGGAUAACUCCGGGAAACCGGGGCUAAUACCGAAUAAUCUGUUUCACCUCAUGGUGAAAUAUUGAAAGACGGUUUCGGCUGUCGCUAUAGGAUGGGCCCGCGGCGCAUUAGCUAGUUGGUGAGGUAACGGCUCACCAAGGCGACGAUGCGUAGCCGACCUGAGAGGGUGAUCGGCCACACUGGGACUGAGACACGGCCCAGACUCCUACGGGAGGCAGCAGUAGGGAAUCUUCCACAAUGGGCGAAAGCCUGAUGGAGCAACGCCGCGUGAGUGAAGAAGGAUUUCGGUUCGUAAAACUCUGUUGUAAGGGAAGAACAAGUACAGUAGUAACUGGCUGUACCUUGACGGUACCUUAUUAGAAAGCCACGGCUAACUACGUGCCAGCAGCCGCGGUAAUACGUAGGUGGCAAGCGUUGUCCGGAAUUAUUGGGCGUAAAGCGCGCGCAGGUGGUUUCUUAAGUCUGAUGUGAAAGCCCACGGCUCAACCGUGGAGGGUCAUUGGAAACUGGGAGACUUGAGUGCAGAAGAGGAUAGUGGAAUUCCAAGUGUAGCGGUGAAAUGCGUAGAGAUUUGGAGGAACACCAGUGGCGAAGGCGACUAUCUGGUCUGUAACUGACACUGAGGCGCGAAAGCGUGGGGAGCAAACAGGAUUAGAUACCCUGGUAGUCCACGCCGUAAACGAUGAGUGCUAAGUGUUAGGGGGUUUCCGCCCCUUAGUGCUGCAGCUAACGCAUUAAGCACUCCGCCUGGGGAGUACGGUCGCAAGACUGAAACUCAAGGAAUUGACGGGGGCCCGCACAAGCGGUGGAGCAUGUGGUUUAAUUCGAAGCAACGCGAAGAACCUUACCACGGUCUUGACAUCCCGAUGACCACUGUAGAGAUAUGGGUUCCCCUUCGGGGGCACGAUGACAGGUGUGCAUGGAUGUCGUCAGCUCGUGUCGUGAGAUGUGAGGUAAGUCCCGCAUCGAGCGCCACCCCCUGAUCCUAGUUGCAUCAAUUUAGUUGGGCACUCCUAAGGGACCUGGCGUGACGAUCGGAGGAAAGUGGGAUGACGUCAAUCAUCAUGCCGUAUGACUGGACUACGACGUGCUCACACUGGAUCGU